rnacentral:rRNA from 1 species
GUCUUCUUGUUAUAUUUAGGAAGUCUGGCCUGCCCAGUGAAAAUAAUUUAACGGCCGCGGUAUAUUGACCGUGCAAAGGUAGCAUAAUCAUUAGUCUUUUAAUAGAGGGCUGGUAUGAAGGGUUUAACGAGGUGUUGACUGUCUCAUUUAAUUUGUAUUUAGAAUUUAAUUUUUUAGUUAAAAAGCUAAAAUAUUAUUGGAAGACGAGAAGACCCUAUAGAGCUUUAUAUUUUUAUUAAUAAUUUAUUGUAGGUUAUUAUUAUUUAUUAUUAAUAGAAAAUAUUUUGUUGGGGUGACAAAAAUAUAUAAAAAACUUUUUUAUUUUAUUUACAUUGAUAUAUGAUUAUUAGAUCCAAUCUUAUUGAUUGUUAGAUUAAGUUACCUUAGGGAUAACAGCGUAAUCCUCCUCCAGAGUUCAUAUUUACAGGGGGGCUUGCGACCUCGAUGUUGGAUUAAGAUAAUAAUUAGGUGCAGCCGCUUAAUUUAAUAGGUCUGUUCGACCUUUAAAUUCUU